GACGAACGCUGGCGGCGUGCCUAAUACAUGCAAGUAGGACGCACAGUCUAUACCGUAGCUUGCUACACCAUAGGCUGUGAGUUGCGAACGGGUGAGUAACGCGUAGGUAACCUGCCUAUUAGAGGGGGAUAACUAUUGGAAACGAUAGCUAAUACCGCAUAACAGUAUGUAACACAUGUUAGAUGCUUGAAAGAUGCAAUUGCAUCGCUAGUAGAUGGACCUGCGUUGUAUUAGCUAGUAGGUAGGGUAAUGGCCUACCUAGGCGACGAUACAUAGCCGUCCUGAGAGGGUGAUCGGCCACACUGGGACUGAGACACGGCCCAGACUCCUACGGGAGGCAGCAGUAGGGAAUCUUCGGCAAUGGGGGGAACCCUGACCGAGCAACGCCGCGUGAGUGAAGAAGGUUUUCGGAUCGUAAAGCUCUGUUGUUAAGGAAGAACGAGUGUGAGAAUGGAAAGUUCAUACUGUGACGGUACUUAACCAGAAAGGGACGGCUAACUACGUG
rnacentral:rRNA from 1 species